UGGGUGCAGGCCAAGGCCGGACUGUCUCCUGAACUCGCCGUUUAACAGAUCCGGAGAUUGGAGGGAUGAGAGAGUGGGCAGAAACGGUUAAGGUAGGGGAGGUUGGGGCAGAGCUGGUUAAGGUAGGAGAGGUUGGGGCAGGAAUUUUUAAGGUAGGGGAGGUUGGGGCAGGGCUGGUUUGUGAUGGCUGGGUGGACUGGGUUGUGAUUACCGGUAAUGGGGAAAAUAAGAAAUCAAAGUGUGGUGCAGUAGGUGAUAUUAAUGUGAGGGGACUGGACAUGGAGGCUGAUGGUGUUCCCAGAGGAAUGGUGGGGGAGGCACUGACAGUUCUUGAACUCACAGGCGUCUGGUGUUCUAGGGCGACUGACCCAGAGAGCUGCCGAAGCGCCUUCCCUUCCCCCAGGCGAUCCUUAUCCAUCUUGAGGCGCUCCCUCUCCACCUGCAGGCGCUCUGUCUCCACCCUCAAGCGCUCUCUAUCCAGCUGGAGCCGGUUCUUCUCCACAUCCAGGAUUUGUUGGAGCAGAUUGGCUUGGGGGCCCUGUGGUGUCCAGCCAGAUGUGAUGGGUUGGGGUGUAGAGUCAGAGUGGAUGGAAUGAGCUGGUGCAGGACAGGAGGUGAUGGGUUGGGGAGCAAAGCCAGAGUGGAUGGAAUGAGCUGGUGCAGGACAGGAGGUGAUGGGUUGGGGAGCAAAGCCAGAGUGGAUGGAGUGAGCUGGUGCAGGACAGGAGGUGAUGGGUUGGGGAGCAAAGCCAGAGUGGAUGGAGUGAGCUGGUGCAGGACAGGAGGUGAUGGGUUGGGGAGCAAAGCCAGAGUGGAUGGAGUGAGCUGGUGCAGGACAGGAGGUGAUGGGUUGGGGAGCAAAGCCAGAGUGGAUGGAGUGAGCGGGUGCAGGACAGGAGGUGAUGGGUUGGGGAGCAAAGCCAGAGUGGAUGGAAUGAGCUGGAGCAGGACAGGAGGUGAUGGGUUGGGGAGCAAUGCCAGAGAGUGCAUCUGCAUUGCUUGCUAUUUGAGAUUUUAGGCUGGGUAUCUGUAAAGCACUUUGUGACAACUGUUGAUGUAAAAAGGGCUUUAUAAAAUAAAUUUGAUUCAUUGAUUGAGAGUGGAUUGAGUGAGCUGGUGCAGGACGGGAGGUGAUGGGUUGGGGAGCAGAGCCAGAGUGAGCUGGUGCAGGACGGGAGGUGAUGGGUUGGGGUGGCACUGUUGGUGCUGGCCAAGGUGUUGAUGGUGAGGUGGAGGGUAGCUCCUCCAUGGUGACAGAGGGUAAAGCUGACUCCACAGUUCCCUCUGCUGUUGGUGGGGGACCAGAGCUGGAGAUUUCUCCCUGAGAGAGACCUGGACAAGACGAUUCGGUCAAUAUUAUUUCAGAUAUUUUAUAUUACUUAUCACUUCUUGUUGAAAUUAUUUAUUUGAAAUUGUCAUGUUUUCCGUUGGUAAACCAUUGUGACAUUAUGUUUUUUAAUCCAAAUAAAGAAUACACGUAAAUUAUUCCUGGAGUGUGUUCUGUCCUUUCCAUUCAUCAGGUACUCAUUUAAUACAGUCGUUAUGGAAUGUAAUAAAGGGUGUGUGGCUCAGUGAAAUGUAAACUUUGCCACAUAUAGGAGACUCAUGAGACCACACAAACACAUCUAAAGGGAUAAAAUAGUGAAGUUAUUAAUUACACUUUGGACGGUGUAUCAAUACACCCAGUCACUACAAAGAUACAGGCGUCCUUCCUAACUCAGUUGCCGGAGAGGAAGGAAACUGAUCAGGGAUUUCACCAUGAGGCCAAUGGUGACUUUAAAAGCAUUUAUGAGCGUGGUCAGCAGGUAAGCUAGCGGUUAAGAGCUUUGGGGCAGUAACUGAAAGGUUGCCGUUUUGAAUACCUGAGCCGAAUUGGUGAAAAAUCAGUUGAUGUGCCCUUGAGUAAGGCACUUGACACUAAUUGCUCAUGAGCCUCUGGAUAAGAGCAUUUUCUAAAUGACAACAUUUUUGUGAAAAUUAACUACAAAUUACCACCCUCUGCUGGUGAAUUGCUGUAUAUGUGUAAUAAUACCAUUAAUUACAUUGUCUAAUUAUGCCAGUUUCUAUGCAUUAAAUGGGUCGCAGACUUAAACUAGCAGAGUUCCCUCUUUGGAACUUUGAUGGAUCUCGUGCAGUAGGCCUACAUUCUACAUGGCCAUUAAACCCCAAUCAGAAGCAGUAGGCCUACAUUCUGUCAAUAUAUGUAGAGCAAAUCAACAUUAAACCCCAAUCAGAAGCAGGGU
rnacentral:lncRNA from 1 species